GAUGAAGAACGCAGCGAAAUGCGAUAAGUAAUGUGAAUUGCAGAAUUCAGUGAAUCAUCGAAUCUUUGAACGCACAUUGCGCCCGCGAGUAUUCUCGCGGGCAUGCCUGUCCGAGCGUCAUUUCAACCCUCAGGGCCCGCCUGCUUGCAGGCGCGGCGCUGGUGUUGGGGAUCGGCUACCCUGCCGUCCCCCAAAUACAGUGGCGGUCUCGCUGCAGCCUCCCCUGCGUAGUAGCAACACUCGCAUGCGGAGCGCGGCGCGGCCACGCCGUAAAACCCCCGACUUUCUGAACGUUGACCUCGGAUCAGGUAGGAAUACCCGCUGAACUUAAGCAUAUCAAUAAGCGGAGA
rnacentral:misc_RNA from 1 species